AUUGAACGCUGGCGGUAUGCUUAACACAUGCAAGUCGAACGCGAACGGUACUUCGGUACUUAUUAGAGUGGCGGACGGGUGCGUAACGCGUGGGAAUCUACCUAGUAGUUGGGGACAACCUGGUGAAAACCAGGCUAAUACCGAAUACGCCCUACGGGGGAAAGCAGGCCUCUUCUUGAAAGCUUGCGCUAUUAGAUGAGCCCGCGUCGGAUUAGCUAGUUGGUAGGGUAAAAGCCUACCAAGGCAACAAUCCGUAGCUGGUCUGAGAGGAUGAUCAGCCACACUGGGACUGAGACACGGCCCAGACUCCUACGGGAGGCAGCAGUGGGGAAUAUUGGACAAUGGGCGCAAGCCUGAUCCAGCAAUACCGCGUGUGUGAAGAAGGCCCGAGGGUUGUAAAGCACUUUCAAUUGUGAAGAGGGGAUAGUUAGUUAAUACCUGUCUAUCC
rnacentral:rRNA from 1 species